ensembl:lncRNA PH and SEC7 domain-containing protein 3-like
CACACACACACACCGCUGCUCUUAUAAUGAGCUGAAGUAAUCACAGCGAUGCUCAACAUCCAGCUUUAAUCGACUGUUGGUGAAUGGAAAUCAUUCUGUCGGGAGAAGCGUUUGAUUGGGUCAGCAGCUCCUCUGCACAUGCACAGAGUGUUGCCAAAGCCAAGUACCAGUUUCUCUUCGGAAAGACAGAAGACACAAGCUCAGCAGAUAGCGUCGCCCCUCCGACCCAAGAGAAACAGGGAAGCGGCUCAGGUCUUGAGUCCGCUCUUGAUGACGAUGACAUUGAUGAGACGUCCCUCUUCCAGGAAAUUGACAGGGAGCUGUCAAACCUGUUGAGUGGCCUGACCGCUCGGAGUCAGCAUGCUGCGUCCGGACAGGACUCGAUGUCAGGAAACGCCACCGCCGCCUCACCCAUGAUCCCUUGCAACGGGCAAGACGAAACCCCGCUGUCUCAGCUGGAUAUGGCCAAGCAGGGCCUGGACGUUCAGAACGGCCAGUCCGAGUUAGCAGGAGACUCCCUGCUGUUUGAUUCGUGGUGCGAGGCGCUCAUAAAGGACCCCAGCUCAGUUAUGGCGGCCGCAAACGAGCUGAGCUGCUUCAGCUCUGGGCCCAGUCGAGACCCCAGGAAUGCACUGGCCUGCCAAAAUAAACCUGACGCCAGCCCGACUCCAGCUGCAGCACAUGGGGAGCAGCCCUCAGAGGUGCCCUCCCAAGAAAACGCUGGAAAGGAGAUGGAGGGCAAGAGGGCCGGGUCACCCUUGCCCAGUAGGACAGACGACGACCCCUCGGCAGAACUGGUGGAUGGGUCUCUAGAGGAAUCCAAUAAAAUUCUGGCCGAGAUCCCGGGCAUCUUCAGUGGCUUUCUGGAGGGGGGCAAACUGCGGGACAAGCCGCCGAAGAAGCUGCGGUUUGUGGAGAGCAGGGAGAGCCUUGUGAACGGAGAGAUGCAGAACGGUACGUACCAGAGCUGCAGCGUGAAAGAGGAAGUGACUCUGGACGCGCAGCAUACAGAAGCCACAGGAGUGCCACAGGGGCGCGUGCUGAGACCCGAUCACAAUCCAGCAGAGAACGGCUCAGACAGGUGUUCUGCAGGUGAGAGUGACGCCACAGAUGUCUUCAGCUGCCAGUUUGAGAUCAUCCUGGAGUCGGAGCGUCUGCGGGGGACUCUCUACAGUAGCAUGGACUCGCUGUCCAACCCUGCACCUGAACCCAGCUCUCACAGCGCUCCAGGAGCCUCGUUUGCCUUCGACAUCCCCCUCACUCCCAUGAUUCAGCAGCGACUCAAGGACAGAAGUCUGUUCCUGAGCUCGGAUGCUGAGGUGCUGAGCGUCGCCGCCACGAAGGAGAGCGUCAGGGCAGCUCUGGAGGUGACCUCUUCGUUUCUCUCAGCGGGCCGCGAGGACGCAGGAAACGGUUUAAACGACAAAGACCCCAGAGACUGGCUGCAGGGCUGUUUCAGGUAAGACCGCACAGUUCAACGUAUGCUGAAAGAAUGGCUGACAGCUCUUUGUCAUGGUUGCAGAUAUUGCACGCAGUGUUGCACAAAUUGUAACAUUCUUCGCGCUGAGCACUGUUUCGUUAUGUUGUUAUGCUGAAGAGCUUGUGUACUGGAGAAAACAUGGAG